CGCGUAGGCGGACAGUUUAGUCAGAGGUGAAAACCCGAAACUCAACCUCGGAAUUGCCUUUGAUACUGGCUGUCUUGAGUACGGGAGAGGUGUGUGGAACUCCGAGUGUAGAGAUGAAAUUCGUAGAUAUUCGGAAGAACACCAGUGGCGAAGGCGACACACUGGCCCGUUACUGACGCUGAGGCGCGAAAGCGUGGGGAGCAAACA
rnacentral:rRNA from 1 species